rnacentral:rRNA from 1 species
UUAGUAUUUGUUUACUUUUGUUGUAGGGGUUUGGUUUUUGUAUUAAAAUUAAUUUUAAUAUUUAUUGUUUUAGUAUUUUAUUGAGGAAAAAUUUUUUUAGUUAUAGUUUAGUAGUAUUGUAGAAGAAUAUUGAAAUAGUGUGAAAAAUUUAUUUUUAUAAAGAAGAUUUAGUUUGUCGUACCUUGUGUAUCAGGGUUUAUCUAAUAUAUUAUAUUUAUUUAUUUUUCUCGAUUUUAUAAGAGUUAAUUAGUUAAUUUAGUUAAUGUGGAAUAAUUAUUAAAAAUAUCUAAUUGGAAAUGAAAAGUUAGUCGUUUAUAAAGGUAUCUAGUUUUUUAAGAAAUGAAUUCAAUUCAGGGCUGUAGAUAGAUUGUUUUAUUGUUUAAAUUUUCUAUUUUAUGGUUUUACUAUGCUAAGGGAUAAGCUUUGGUAUAUAUUUCUAAAAGGUUAAGGAUUUAUUUUUAAUUGUAUGCUUAGAAAUAGCAAUUGAUUGCAAUGUUGUUAUAAUUUAUUUUUUUGAUAAAAUAUUUAUUUUUCUUUAGUUAUUUAUUAAAAUGGUUGCUUUAAUUUUUUCUGUUAAGUAAUAAUGAUGGAAUUAGUAUAAUUUAUUGUCUAUUGAUUAUUUUUUUUUAGAUUAGUGUAAAUAACUCGGCAAAUAUAGUGUUCGCCUGUUUAUCAAAAACAUGUCUUAUAGAUAUUUAUUUUAAGUCUGACCUGCCCGUUGAUUUAUUGAAAGGCCGCAGAAUCUUAACUGUGCAAAGGUAGCAUAAUCACUAGUUUUUUAAUUGAAAGCUUGAAUGAAUGGUUGGACGAGGCACUAGCUGUUUCACAUUAAAUAUUAGAAUUUUAUUUUUUGGUAAAAAAGCCUAGAUUUUUUUAAAAGACGAGAAGACCCUAUAGAUCUUUAUAGCUAAAGUGUUAUUAUUUAUUAGGAUUUUUUUUAUUAAUAUUGUUUAUGCUAUUUUGCUGGGGUGGCGGAUGAAUUUGUUUAACUUUUUUUAUUUUUUAUACAUUUAUUUAUGUUGAUACUGAUCCUUUAUUUAAGAUUAAAAAUUUAAGUUACCUUAGGGAUAACAGCGUAAUCUUUCUGGAGAGUUCAUAUCGAUGGAAAGGAUUGCGACCUCGAUGUUGGAUUAAGAUUCAUUACUGGGCGCAGCAGUUCAGUUUUUAAGUCUGUUCGACUUUUUAUUUCUUACAUGAUCUGAGUUCAAACCGGCGUGAGCCAGGUUGGUUUCUAUCUUUAAAAGAUUAGUAUACCUUAGUACGAAAGGGCCAGGUAUACAAAAAAUUAUUUUUUAUAUUAGAAUUUUAUUAAUUGGGG